AGUGAACGCUGGCGGUAGGCCUAACACAUGCAAGUCGAACGGCAGCACAGUAAGAGCUUGCUCUUACGGGUGGCGAGUGGCGGACGGGUGAGGAAUACACCGGAAUCUACUUUUUCGUGGGGGAUAACGUAGGGAAACUUACGCUAAUACCGCAUACGACCUACGGGUGAAAGCAGGGGAUCUUCGGACCUUGCGCGAUUGAAUGAGCCGAUGUCGGAUUAGCUAGUUGGCGGGGUAAAGGCACACCAAGGCGACGAUCCGUAGCUGGUCUGAGAGGAUGAUCAGCCACACGGGAACUGAGACACGGUCCAGACUCCUACGGGAGGAAGCAGUGGGGAAUAGGGGAGAAUGGGCGCAAGCCUGAUACAGCCAUACCGCGUGGGUGAAGAAGGACUUCGGGUUGUAAAGCCCUUUUGUUGGGAAAGAAAAGCAGCAGGUUAAUACCCCGCUGUUCUGACGGUACCCAAAGAAUAAGCACCGGCUAACUUCGUG
rnacentral:rRNA from 1 species